rnacentral:rRNA from 1 species
ACGAACGCUGGCGGCGUGCUUAACACAUGCAAGUCGAACGGAAAGGCCUCUUUCGGGGGGUACUCGAGUGGCGAACGGGUGAGUAACACGUGAGUAACCUGCCCUUGACUUUGGGAUAACUUCAGGAAACUGGGGCUAAUACCGGAUAGGAGCUCCUGCUGCAUGGUGGGGGUUGGAAAGUUUCGGCGGUUGGGGAUGGACUCGCGGCUUAUCAGCUUGUUGGUGGGGUAGUGGCUUACCAAGGCUUUGACGGGUAGCCGGCCUGAGAGGGUGACCGGCCACAUUGGGACUGAGGUACGGCCCAGACUCCUACGGGAGGCAGCAGUGGGGAAUAUUGCACAAUGGGUGGAAGCCUGAUGCAGCAACGCCGUGUGCGGGAUGACGGCCUUCGGGUUGUAAACCGCUUUCGCUCAUGACGAAGCUUUGUGUGACGGUAGUGGGUAAAGAAGCACGGGCUAACUACGUG